UCAGUGUUUUUUCUGGCAGUCGAUGUGCUC
rnacentral:piRNA from 1 species